AAAAUCCAGACAGUGGAUUUAUAGUGUUAAAUCGGAUUUUCUUUCUAGUUCUCUGAAAUAUUAACACGUGCAACGUAACAUUGAGUCUAGUGAUUCCGAAGCAAAUUCUUCAGCCAUUACCUCUGUAGCCGCAAAGCAGUGUUGGGGCUCUGUCGCAAAACGUUUAAAUAACCAGGCAGAGUUUCCCAGGGACCAGCAAACGCUUAACAAAAAACGGAACAACCUCGUGCAGAUUCACAGCUCUCUAUUUGCAGAGCACCUUAUUCUGUUGAACAAAACAGGAGGUGGACCAAACCCACAAUUAUCAAUUUUGACGAAAGCAGUUGUUGAUGCUGUGGUGAGAAAAUCCCAAACAGUGACAGUAAUUGCCCUGUCUGAAACCAUGGAUUCGUCCAUGCUUUUGAUAAAACAACAAAG